rfam:Streptomyces caeruleatus strain NRRL B-24802 genomic scaffold PRJNA299234_s012, whole genome shotgun sequence.
UGACCCCGUGCGGGAGAGUCCUCCGGACACCAUCCGGAGGCGCCGAAGGAGCAAAUCCUCCCCGGAAUCUCUCAGGCACACGUACCGCACGGACGAG